rnacentral:rRNA from 1 species
GACGAACGCUGGCGGCGUGCUUAACACAUGCAAGUCGAACGGAAAGGCCCUGCUUUUGUGGGGUGCUCGAGUGGCGAACGGGUGAGUAACACGUGAGUAACCUGCCCUUGACUUUGGGAUAACUUCAGGAAACUGGGGCUAAUACCUGAUAGGAGCUCCUGCUGCAUGGUGGGGGUUGGAAAGUUUCGGCGGUUGGGGAUGGACUCGCGGCUUAUCAGCUUGUUGGUGGGGUAGUGGCUUACCAAGGCUUUGACGGGUAGCCGGCCUGAGAGGGUGACCGGCGACAUUGGGACUGAGAGACGGCCCAGACGGCUACGGGAGGCAGCAGUGGGGAAUAUUGCACAAUGGGCGGAAGCCUGAUGCAGCAACGCCGCGUGCGGGAUGACGGCCUUCGGGUUGUAAACCGCUUUCGCCUGUGACGAAGCGUGAGUGACGGUAAUGGGUAAAGAAGCACCGGCUAACUACGUG